rnacentral:rRNA from 1 species
UGGGGAAUCUUGCGCAAUGGGCGAAAGCCUGACGCAGCGACGCCGCGUGUGGGAUGAAGCCUUUCGGGGCGUAAACCACUGUUGCCCGGGACGAACAUCCUCUUUCGAGGGGACUGACGGUACCGGGUGAGGAAGCACCGGCUAACCCUGUGCCAGCAGCCGCGGUAAUACAGAGGGUGCGAGCGUUGUCCGGAAUCACUGGGCGUAAAGGGCGCGUAGGUGGCUUGGUAAGCGUGUGGUGAAAGUCCGGGGCUCAACCCCGGAUCUGCCGUGCGAACUGCUGAGCUCGAGCGAUGUAGAGGCAGGUGGAAUUUCGGGUGUAGCGGUGGAAUGCGUAGAUAUCCGAAAGAACACCAGUGGCGAAGGCGGCCUGCUGGGCAUCAGCUGACACUGAGGCGCGACAGCGUGGGGAGCAAA